AAGAAGCGAAGCAGUGAUGUGAAGCAAAACUCAAAAAAGUAAGUCUCAGUUCGGAUUGAAGGCUGAAAUUCGCCUUCAUGAAGCCGGAAUUGCUAGUAAUGGCAGGUCAGCAUACUGCCGUGAAUACGUUCCCGGGCCUUGUACACACCGCCCGUCACACCAUGAGAGUUGGGAAUACCCGAAGCCUGUGAGCUAACUUUAAGAGGCAGCAGUCGAAGGUAGAAUCAAUGAUUGGGGUGAAGUCGUAACAAGGUAAC
rnacentral:rRNA from 1 species